GGAAGUAUCCCAUCUAGAUCUGUAAAAUAAAUGCCUUAAUUUUUUUUUUGGGUUGGUGAUGUCUUUGAUAAUUUUUACAGAGGAAGUUGUUGAUGGGUUCGAUUCAUUCUUUCCAACAAUUUUCUGCAAAUCUAAGGUUCAGAAAAAAGGAUGCGUCAUUUCAUUUAAUGCGUAAAUCCUUAUCAGAUUUCUUGGGGGUCGGUCGGAUUUCAGAGCCACCAUUGAACGGAUUUCUAAUGGUUUUGGUCCUUUUUAUCUUCCGUUUUCAACUGUUAUGUACUGUAGAGCUUUGAUUAUCAUCCAACAUUAGGUAUGUUGGUACAAAUUUUUAUGAAUAAUUUUACAUUCAGGUUUUCUGGGCAGUCUAGUGUUGCUGAAGUCGGGACUGAAGAGAGGCCGAUCUGAUCACUUCAGUUUGCAAGGAAUUUGGCAGAAGGGUUUGUUAAUUCAUUUCUGAUGAUGUCGUCGAGAAGAUGCACCAUGCUGUACCAUGAAAUCCCAUGAAUUUCUGAACCAUUUCCCAGGAUCAGCUGAUUUUUAUUUUUAUCUUUCCUAAAUAAUGACUUGGGUCAUGUUGCUGCGAAGAAGAAUAGGAUGAAGAAGGAGAAGCCUUUACAUAACUAAACUGGCAUUGAAGUUUGAAUUAUUGUGGUAUGGCCUUGACUUUUAGUACAAGAAACAGAGGCAUAUUUCUGAAAUCUUGAGAAUUCUUAUUUCCUUGUCUUGUUUGUGGCAUGUUCUGGAAUUCGUGUAGUGGGGUGGAUUUCAAUCAUGGUGUUUGAAAUAGAGUUCUGAAAUUCCACACAACGUUUUUCCUGAAAUGGUAUAUGCGGUAGCUCCAAGGCAAUGGCCAGAAAAUGCGACCGAUUUGGGGUUGUUUCAAAGCUACGGUUGCUGACUUGCUGUAAGAGAUAAGAGUUCCCAUGUAGUAAAAGAUGGUAAAGUUCUCUCUUUUUGUUAGUAAUUUCAAACAGGUUUUUCAAUGGA